rnacentral:rRNA from 1 species
UCGAACCUGCACAGCAGAACGACCCGCGAACUUGUAUAUCAAACUCGKGGGGGUGUGCCUUGGCUCGCUCCCUUGAAGUCGGUYAGUGUCGURCCUGUCUCCCCGUCACAAGGGYGAUGGUUUYGGCGCURGUCGGCAAUAACCCAAACACCGGCGCGGGUUGCGCCAAGGACUAUGAAUUCUAUCGCGUCCCUUGGCCCCGAGCAAUCGGGUGCUGAGGUGAAGCGUGACGUAUAUUAACAAAACGACUCUCGGCAACGGAUAUCUCGGCUCUCGCAUCGAUGAAGAACGUAGCGAAAUGCGAUACUUGGUGUGAAUUGCAGAAUCCCGUGAACCAUCGAGUCUUUGAACGCAAGUUGCGCCCGAAGCCAUUCGGCCGAGGGCACGUCUGCCUGGGCGUCACGCAUUGCGUCGCCCCCUCACCCUUCGCAGAACGGAGAGAGGGGCGGACAAUGGCCCCCCGUGCGCUWGUCCGCGCGGCCGGCCUAAACUAGGAGCCCGUGGCCGCGAAYGCCGCGACGUUUGGUGGUUGACUUAAGCAUCGCGUCGUGUGCACGAGCGRYAACGAUUGAGAGCUCGAAGGACCCUUAGGCGCCAGCCUACCCUUNNNACCCC